GUCGCAUUGAGGGGUAAACGUGAAAUAGAAAUCAAACUAAAAAGCACAUAAACCCGUCACUAACAAAAAUAUGUGUCUAGAAGUUACGUCUUUAAUGAUAGAUAAGAACAACAUGCACACAAAACUCAUCAAAGAUAUCAGACUUCUACUGUGGUAAGUUAAACGAGCUUUCCGUCUACACAUGACUCGUAUGUGGCGCUCGAAUCAAAGUAGUUAAAAUGUCAAAUCAAAUAUAACGUUAAAGAGCAUUAAAACAGAAAAUUCCAAUAAUUCCAAAUACGCCUAAGUUUAAUCAAAUCAGCAAACGUUGAAGAGAUAAACAAUAUACAAGUUUUGAGACAACCAAGACAAUGAAC
rnacentral:lncRNA from 1 species